GACGAACGCUGGCGGCGUGCCUAAUACAUGCAAGUAGAACGCUGAAGGAGGAGCUUGCUUCUCUGGAUGAGUUGCGAACGGGUGAGUAACGCGUAGGUAACCUGCCUGGUAGCGGGGGAUAACUAUUGGAAACGAUAGCUAAUACCGCAUAAGAGUAGAUGUUGCAUGACAUUUGCUUAAAAGGUGCAAUUGCAUCACUACCAGAUGGACCUGCGUUGUAUUAGCUAGUUGGUGGGGUAACGGCUCACCAAGGCGACGAUACAUAGCCGACCUGAGAGGGUGAUCGGCCACACUGGGACUGAGACACGGCCCAGACUCCUACGGGAAGCAGCAGUAGGGAAUCUUCGGCAAUGGACGGAAGUCUGACCGAGCAACGCCGCGUGAGUGAAGAAGGUUUUCGGAUCGUAAAGCUCUGUUGUAAGAGAAGAACGAGUGUGAGAGUGGAAAGUUCACACUGUGACGGUAUCUUACCAGAAAGGGACGGCUAACUACGUGCCAGCAGCCGCGGUAAUACGUAGGUCCCGAGCGUUGUCCGGAUUUAUUGGGCGUAAAGCGAGCGCAGGCGGUUAGAUAAGUCUGAAGUUAAAGGCUGUGGCUUAACCAUAGUACGCUUUGGAAACUAUUUAACUUGAGUGCAAGGGGGGAGAGUGGAAUUCCAUGUGUAGCGGUGAAAUGCGUAGAUAUAUGGAGGAACACCGGUGGCGAAAGCGGCUCUCUGGCUUGUAACUGACGCUGAGGCUCGAAAGCGUGGGGAGCAAACAGG
rnacentral:rRNA from 1 species